rnacentral:rRNA from 1 species
GUCAAGUCAUCAUGGCCCUUAUGUCCAGGGCUACACACGUGCUACAAUGGGCGGAACAAAGCGAGGCAAGCCCGCGAGGGCAUAGCGAAGCGCCGAAAACCGCCCGUAGUCCGGAUUGAAGUCUGAAACCCGACUUCAUGAAGCUGGAAUCGCUAGUAAUCGCGCAUCAGCAUGGCGCGGUGAAUACGUUCCCGGGCCUU